GGAAUGUGGAGAGAGGCGCUGCAUGGCUGUCGUCAGCUCGUGUCGUGAGAUGUUGGGUUAAGUCUCGCAACGAGCGCAACCCCUAUCCUUAGUUGCCAGCAUUAAGUUGGGCACUCUAGGGAGACUGCCCGGGCUAACCGGGAGGAAGGUGGGGAUGACGUCAAGUCCUCAUGGCCCUUAUGUCCAGGGCUACACACGUAAUACAAUGGUCGGUACAAUGGGACGCGACACAGCGAUGUGAAGCCAAUCCCGAAAAGCCGGUCUCAGUCCGGAUUGGAGUCUGCAACUCGACUCCAUGAAGUUGGAAUCGCUAGUAAUCGUGGAUCAGCACGCCACGGUGAAUACGUUCCCGGGCCUU
rnacentral:rRNA from 1 species